rnacentral:rRNA from 1 species
CUGCUGCCUCCCGUAGGAGUCUGGUCCGUGUCUCAGUACCAGUGUGGGGGGACCUUCCUCUCAGAACCCCUACGCAUCGUCGUCGU